UACGAAGGGGGCUAGCGUUGUUCGGAAUCACUGGGCGUAAAGGGCGCGUAGGCGGCUUUUCAAGUCGAUUGUGAAAUCCCCGGGCUUAACCUGGGAACUGCAGUCGAGACUGUCUAGCUAGAGUAUGGGAAAGGGAAGUGGAAUUUCAGGUGUAGCGGUGAAAUGCGUAGAUAUCUGAAGGAACAUCAGUGGCGAAAGCGACUUCCUGGACCAAUACUGACGCUCAUGUGCGAAAGCGUGGGGAGCAAACAGG
rnacentral:rRNA from 1 species